rnacentral:rRNA from 1 species
CAGUUCGGAUUGUAGGCUGAAACUCGCCUACAUGAAGCUGGAAUCGCUAGUAAUCGCGGAUCAGAAUGCCGCGGUGAAUACGUUCCCGGGUCUUGUACACACCGCCCGUCACACCAUGGGAGUCGGAAAUGCCCGAAGUCUGUGACCCAACCGGAAGGAAGGAGCAGCCGAAGGCAGGUCUGAUGACUGGGGUGAAGUCGUAACAAGGUAUC